ensembl:lncRNA novel transcript
ACUUCCCUGUGAGCCAGGGACCCAGAACAGAUAGUCUUACUUCACCCUGGCUUUUGCAGGACAAGAUGGAGCUCAUACAGCAUUGAUUUCGUCAGUGUCUAGGGACCUGUGGUGAUCACAGAUAUUCUCUCCUGGGAGAAAUAUCUUGAUCAAAUGAGGGAAAUGUGAGCUUAUCAAUGUUCCACACUUGCCAUCAGUAAUUUCAUCUUUGUCUACUGACUUCACAUUAAUACUGCCGAUGAACUUUGAGAUCUACAAAGUAACACUUCCUUCACAAAUAUUUGUACUCUCAACAGUACACACUAUAAAGAAACCGGUCACUAUCUUUAAGAACUUUAUAUAUAUAGCUUUUCUGACAAACUGAUGUAAUUUAUUCACGUUUAAUCAACUAAUGAAAUAAUCUGACAAACAAUAUAUGUAAACUAAAUAAGUUUUUCUCAAUGUAAGCCCUCUUUCCUCUUUCAGGUGGUGCAGUCUCUGGCUGCUAACUGGGUUGUAAUCCCUGUUCCUGAAUAAAUGUUUAUUUGCCUCU